GCGUAGUGAAACAGCCUUUGCUAAAAGCCCCCGCUCUCUGAAAGCCGCUCCGGCGCUUCAGGCUCAGACCUCAGGCUCAGACUUCAGGCUCCGCCCGGCGUCAUUCCCACCGCAUCCGGCGGACCUGCUCCGCUCUCCGCUCCGCGCCGCCGCUCCGCACCUCGGAAAAGCUGCAGCGCACUUUUAAAAAGGGCGAGAGCAGGAUAAGCUGCUUUAUUUCAUCUCUGCCUAGAUCGACCCACGACUUCACCAGUAAUAGUCUGCAUAUGAAGUCAUAAAUUUUCGUUUAUUUGCCUCCUGUAUAGUAAAGACCGACGUUUACAGCAGUUUUUUUUUUUUUUUUUACAGAUUUACUGGCAAAUUCUGGGAAACUAAAUAUCUUAAAGGGCGGAAAGGGUGUAGAAGAGGAUCAUAUUAAAGGAAGACAGUAACAUCUUCAGCCUGUUUCUUUUAUAGUGCUUUAAUUGUUUGAUUUAGAUGGGGGAGAGACGGAUAUUCCCAGAAAUCAGCCCCUUAUCGGCCCCUGCCAAAAAGUGCAUGUCUUCGCUCGGCAGUGAAUGACCCUAGGGAGGGUCUCGAGCUUGAGAAAACACGGCAUGUCUGAUGAUGAGAAUGUCACCCAAGGAGAUGAUUGAGGUUCAAUAAAACCAGCCAGGGAACCUGAAGUUUCAGCAUGUUUUCAUCAACUGUAACAUAAUACUGGGUAAAGGUAACCUCUUAGGUGUCUGUCCAAAUUGUUUCUUUCAAUGAGUCUCAGAUUCACCCACAAUGCCUUGGCUUAACUUUUGUUAUGAGUCUGUAGGUAAAUGUGGAAACAAUGUGGUCAACAGUAAGUAAAGCAAACCGUGAAAAUGCAUCCACUACACAGGCCUGACUGGCUGAGGCGCCUUCGAGAAUGAAACCGAUCACCCUUCUGCUUUCAGAUGGCAGGUGACACUGUGGUAUUCCCAGGACAGACGUGCCCCCCCCCCCCCCCAUCUGUCGUCCUGUGUGAGAAUCCCUCUUUCCUGCAAACAGGGGCAGCAGUCAGAAAUAGCUUCCACACGGUCUCACGUUCCCCAGCACUGACCUUCUAUCUCCCCUGGGACAGCAGGACUUUCUAUUUUUUUUCUUUACAAGCCUUUUAUAAAAACAGAGGGUAGUACUCAGCAAAAAUAAUUAACUGUGUGCAGUGUUUGGAUUACUAGUAGGAAAUGUCAAGUGUAAGAGCUUGGAGAUGUGCACAGUUUACACGCUGAGUAUGGGGGUGGGAUGCAGAGGCAGCGCGGGGGGGGGGGGCACAUCUGUUUACUCCAUCCCUGCCAUCAUUCAGGGGAAGUAAGACACUGAAACGCAAACAAGCACUGUGUUUCGAAAGUGAGCUAAGAGCCCCAGCAGGCCGCCAUUGGUGCACUAACAGCACAAUGCUCUUCAGAAACCUCCGAUCGACCACACGUGUCUAAAUCCAUCCAGUUAAAAGGAAGGCGGAAUUCUUCUCAGACGAAAAUAUAGAUGCAAGGAAGUGUGAUGUGUUCUUGUGGUUUGCUGUUGUUUACCCGGAAAGCGGGUCAGGGCUGACUAGCCAAGAAAGUGUGUCAGAUAGCAAGGUGAGUGAGUCAGGCAUUCAUAACCACUUCCCCAUUCAACACUAAAGUCAAAUUUGCUGAUGACAUUACCACAGUAGGCCUGAUAUUGGACAAUAAUGAGACAGGUUACAGUGAGGAGGUUCAGCAUCUGGCAGAACGGUGCUGCCACAAUAUCCUGGACCGAAACACUACAGAAACAAAAGAAAUUAUGUUGAGCUCAGGAAAUCAAAGCGCACAGAGCAGGGUGGGGAGUUUUAAGCUCCUUGGUGUGACCUCACCUGGACCACACACAUCUGCCAUCAGGUGGGGGAGGCACAAUGGAGGCUUUACUUCCUAAGGAAGUUAGGGCACGCUCACCUCCCUCAUCACCUGCAGACCUACUUCUAACGGUCAACAAGAGAGAGCCUCCUGACCUACUAGCUGCACAGAAGAGAACAGAAAGGACCUGCAGCAAGUGGUGUGGAGGCGGCAGAGCAUGCCGUACACUACCCCCCCCCCUCCCCCCCAAGAGAUAUUUACACCAACUGACUUCAAAAGAAAGCCAGUUGCAUUUGAAAGGAUUCCACCCACCCUGAACAUCACCUCUUCUCCACACUGGCCUAUGAAAAAGAUACAGAACAUUUAGGACCAAAACAGAUAAAAACAGCUUCCUUCCACCGGCAGCUGAAAGAAAUGAAAAUCUUUACAGAGCCACCCUUUGUCAGAGAAGAACCAUUAACAAUAGUCAGUCCCAUUACGUGUUGGAUUCAGCAGCAGCAUUUAUCCUUGUGGGGACGAAAAAAUGUCCCCACAAGGUAAAAAAACUACAGGCUUUUAUCAUAUUGUGGAGAAAUAGGUCCCCACAGUGUAAUAAUUACAAAACCGAACAGACACACCCACAUACACACACACACACACACACACACACACACACACACACACACACACACACACACACACACACACACACACACACAGAGCAGGACAGCAGUUUACUUGAUAAAGAUCCACCUGCAGGGGCCUUUCCAAUGGUGGGUAUGUCGUCUGAGAAACGGACCGGCACUUUCUACGAAGUGGAAAGCAUGUGGAGCCCAUGGAGGACCUCAGAGACAGCACCACCUGCAGGCACAGCACCCCCCUGCACCAUGGAUGAGCCGCUGAUGGAAUGCUGCUGGACCGCGUCCGCCUCCCAGAGCCCUGCUCAGUCCUCUGCGCCGGGGACUCGCUGUGGCUGCAAUGCUGCUGUCCCAGCAUGAAAGGCAGGCGUGGAUGCAGGAAUGAGCUCCUCUUCUUCUGUUCUUUUAACAAGC